CAUUCAUGUGCAUAUUUUCGUGAGGAUGUAGUUUUCAUUUCACUUGAGUAAAUGCAAAGCAGUGAGAUUGCUGGGUCAUACAAUCUCGUCCAGAAGUAAUAUACGUCAAGAAAGAAGAGAUUAUAAAUGUCUAGCAGGGACUGUUAGAAAUAUAUUUGGUGCCCUUGAUGAUUUCUCAAUCAAGACAGGGAACACUGAGGUACAACCACAUAGAGCAUCGGAGCUGCUACGGUAAAGGGGAAGGAGAGAUUCCUACUCUGGUUGAUGACACUGGAUCCUUGCAAGCUGGACAUCUCGGAACAACAGACACAGCUGUUCAACCUCAGAGCUUCUAGACUUCCCAUGUUCCAAGUCCACUUCUGCCGGCAGAAUAGAAACCUCGUCAGUUAUCACAACUCAGUAUCCUUCUAAUUAAAAUAUCUGACCAUGUCCCCAUCAGCCACUUGCCUCAUUUGGGACACCACCAACCAUCCUGCACGGCUGCCCAUGUUUCUGUUUCUCCAGCCCAAGCAUGCAGUUUCAGUAGGUCCUUCAGAGGCUGCCUGAAAGGAGCUCCUGAAUUUCACAGACAAAUCCAGACCCCUGUGUGGAAAGCCUGCGGUGGUGUUCUCCGUCUUCCCACAGGACUCCCUGCAGCCAGGAAUUCUAGGGGAGCACCUGACGCGAGGUAUACGCCCAGAUGGCCUGAAGUAACUGAAGAAUCACAAAAGAAGUGAAAAUGUCCUGCCCCGCCUUAACUGAUGACAUUCCACCACAAAGGAAGUGUCAAUGGCUGGUCCUUGCCUUAACUGAUGACAUUCCACCGCAAAAGAAGUGAAAAUGGCCGGUCCUUGCCUUAACUGAUGACAUUACACCACAAAAGAAGUGAAAAUGGCCGGUCCUUGCCUUAAGUGAUGGCAUUACCUUGUGAAAGUCCUUUUCCUGGCUCAUUCUGGCUCAAAAUCACCCCCACUGAGCACCUUGUGACCCCCACUCCUGCCCGCCAGGGAACAAUCCCCCUUUGACUGUAAUUUUCCUUUACCUACCCAAAUCUUAUAAAAUGGCCCCACCCCUAUCUCCCUUUGCUGACUCUCUUUUUGGACUCAGCCUGCCUGCAUCCAGGUGAUUAAAAGCUUUUAUUGCUCACACA
rnacentral:lncRNA from 1 species